AUUUUGCUCCAAGAGGAAAUGAGUGUUCUCGGAAGGAUUAACAUGCUUGGUUUAUGCUGAUCACAGCAGCACCUGUGCCCUUGUAGUGAAAGACAUGGAGGCUGAGCCUUAGGGAAACACAGUUUCAGGGGUUUAUUUAUCAGACGUCAUACAGCACCGAUCAGCCUUCUGUUUAAUCACUGUGCUGCACACCCGCUCUGCCCCUCCAGUGAAUGAGCGGCUCGCUUUGCUCUCACAGUCCCAGCUCAGGGCAGCAGCUUCUGUGUUAGAAAAAUGCUCCAAAACUGGGACAUUUGUCUGCCAUUACUCUCUGUCUACCAAACUCUCAUGUUUCAGGCUUAGGACACUAAAUUGGAGACAUGUCCAAAGAAAAUAAACCCAAACCACCACAACAACAAACACAGCCAAAACCAAACAAGCCAACAACAAAACCCCUUGUUUCCCUUACCUUGAGCCCUUCCCACAGGCUGUGUCUGCCCUGGCCUGGAAGGAUCACCUCCAGAACGCAAAUAAGGUUUCUACAUCUCUAGAGAAGUUGAAUAUUGACAACACUAAAUCAUGAGAAACUCUACUCCUGAACGAGGCUUCGCUUCAACUUCCGAGAGAGAACCUCCAGCAUGAACUUUCUCCUAUGGCCGAGGAAUCUUAUACUUCAAUCCACUCUGACAGCACAAAAUCCCUUCUAAUUGAAUCCAGAAUUAUCAGCCCAGAAUAUCCAUGCUAACUUUAACCAGAAUUUUACCCAGAAACUCAACAUGAUAAAUGAACCAGAAGUUAUGAGGUGAAAGUCAAAUACUAUCAACACAGGAGAAACUCGGUUUUUCUUAGCUAUACACAUGAUUACAAGAAGUGUUUUAGGCUUCUAUUCCUUUGUGUUUCAAGCCACUGUAGUAUCUUACCUAACUUAUUUCAUGGUCUGGGAAAUUGAAAGUAAUAAGGCAGCACAGGGACCUAUCCCAAGUCUCAGCAUUAACAGUCUUUGUCCCAUCAGACUGUUGGUUUCUGUGUGUUUUGUCACUGGUUUUGGUUUCCAAAUCUCACUUAUCUACAAAACCUCCACUUUCAUAUUUGUGAGGAAUUCCCCUACUACUGUGGUACAUUAAGAAAACAAAUAGAGCAUGCAAUAAUUUAUGACUGGAACAUAAAAAGAGUAAGCCCAAUGGUUUUUGACAAUCAUUGUAUGGUCAUAAAAUGUUCUUUAAUGCCAAGUCAUCCACCACAGUCAGGUGCCACAGAAAAAGAAAAGCUGUUUUCCAGCAAAGUUACCCUCAAAAUUUGAGCUCAUACAUUCAGCUUUGCUCAGAAGAGUGAGAAGAGAGGCUACUGUGAAAAACCAAUUAUAUUUUGGCACCGGUGAAUUACUGCAAAAGGAAUCAACAGCUGUGUGAGAUGUUGCAGGCAGAAAAAGCUUUUGUAAGGUAGUCUAAAACCACGUUGUGAAUGUUGGAGAGCUAUGAAUUUUAGUUAAUAUAUUGAGUCCCGAAAGCCUUUAUUCAAAGGCCAGAACUCCUCCCUGCCAAUACCAGAGUUUGGAAAAUUACUUUAUGGAAUGCACCCAACCAUUCUCUUGCAAGAAAUACAUAUUGGCAGCUCCAGUGUCUGUGGCAAUGCUCCAAAGCCUCUGCAAAAGCUCAACAUGUCUUCCUUUAAAAAGCAGACCAUUUCCUGGAACACUCUCUUCCAAGAGUGCCAAACCAGAACUAUAUCUGCUGUUGUGAACCUUUGACCUCGAAAGGCUUUGAUGUCUUUUCAGGAGAAACAGCACCCUUUUCGAAGCGUUUGUGCACCCUCUGUGCAUGUCCAAGGGAGCUGGUUUUGAAUGCUAUAGCACAGUUGGUACCCAACAGCAUCCCAGAGAUCGGAAUACACAGGAGCAGAGACCCAAAACCUCUCUGGUUUUGCAGAGACACAACCUGAGAUCAGCUGAGUUGGUCAGAGCAGGUGCUAAUAAUGCCAAGGUUUUGGGGUUGAUCUCAUACAGGCCGUUCACUUAAGAGUUGGACUUGAUGAUCCUUCUGGGUCCCUUCCAACUCAGAAUAUUUUGUGAUUCUGUGAACCAACAACAUUUUGGACAAUGCCGUUCCAUCGCAGUCUAAAACAGGAUGCAAAUCCUUUUGUAAAAGGAAACUCAACUUAUCAGAACAAGUUGUUUACUUAGAGCGCUAUACCAAAGCUAGCCAUUACCACUGUACCUUUAAUAAAAGAAAAAAGGAUCAUAAAAGAGAAAACUGUGAAUUAAAUCCAAGAUAGGACCCUUUGAUUUUCUUUGAUUACUCCCCAAAAAGCCACCAUGGUGACCUUAACAAAGCUUUGUUUCUCCAUUGCUAAAGAGGACAUAAGGAAAUUUCAUUUUUCCUGAAAUACCAGGUGUCUGAGACCAUGAGACAAAGCACACAAGUUAUGUAGGGCUUGGUUUCCAAAUCUCACUUAUCUGCAGAACCUCCACCUUCAAGUUUGCAAGAGACUCCCUGAGCAUAGUUUCUCCUUCCCACCCAACAUAAAGAUGACAUGAAGCUAUUUAUCCAAGCAAAUUCUAGUUGUUCUCUUUCAUACCAAAGUCUGACUCAUGCCUAGGGCACAGUUUUAUUAAUUUUUCCAUCUCCAUUUCAUGUAACUGGUGCUCUCUGAGGACUCACACCAUUUCUUCCAACACUGACUUUAAGUCUCCUAGAGGUGUUUUUCUUCCAUGAGGCACAGCCAAAUGCUGGCAGGCUCCAGGCCAGUCCCUCAGAAUACUCAUUUAUCAAUGCACCACAGAUAUUCCUCAUCACUGCUAACAUUUUGCAGUUGAAGCCCUGUCAGCUGUGCAACACAGAAAAGAUCUCUUUCAGAGAGAAACAUGACUUCAGGCAGUACAAUGCUGGCAACUCACAGCUUCAUUAUUCCCCAACACUGCUUAUCCAGCAGGCACUGUACAAACUAAAUUGGGGGACAAAUGAAGCCUUUCACGUUUUCAUUCCCCUUUAGAAACAGACAUAGAAAUACAGCACUCUUUACUGGGAUUUUUCCUUCUGUUAACAUGGCUGUAAAUUCAUUAUCCAAAUGUGAAGGUGCAAGCAGGAAGGGAGUUUUGUCUUAAGGGAACUGAAUUGAGGAAGUGUGGACAAUCAGCUCAGUGUCUGACCACCACAGCAGAGAACCCACAAUCAACUCUUCAAGACAGAGAUAUCAGGAUUAUGCCAAAAGUAGCUCAGUGCUACCUGCUGUUAUCGUGGAAUCCUGGAGUCAUUUCAGUUGGAAAAGAUCUCCUGGAUCAUCGACUCCAACCUGUGCCAAAUCCCCACCUUGUCACCCAGCCCAGAUCACUGAAUUCCUUGGACACCUCCAGGGAUGGGACUCCAUCACCUGACAAUCCUUUCAGUGAUGAAGUUCUUCCAGAUAUCCAAACUAAACAUCUCCUGGGACAGCAUGAGGCCAUUUCCUCUUGUCCUGUCAAAGUGAAAUAAAACAACAGGAAGUAUUAGCAAGGAAACACAGAUCAGAUCAACUAAACCCAUGACACAGCCACAUCCCAUUAGCUCAGACUCCAAUAAUAUAAACUAGAUCUGGAAAAUACGCAAACAUGGGCAAUGGGGGAAAUAUGGGCUUCAGGAGCAAGGGCACAGGAGAUAAAAAGAUGUGCAAGAGAUGGCCAUGAAGAUGUAAAUGAGCCUGAGAAAGAAGACAUGUCACCUCCCCUGUCCUUGCAGGACAAGAAAAUGGAGUUCACAAAAGCCAUCAUUGUGCUCUAUGCUAAAACAGUCAAGAGAAGGGCCCUUUGCUGCAGGACAAGGAGCCAGCCCAGAAACUCUCGGUACAUUUGGGAUUAGACAGAUCCAUGGGAGGAAGGUGCAGCAACCAGAGCUCUUCAACACUUGGCUGUGAUGUGAACUCCAACUCAGGGAGUCUCCAGCACCUGCCUGCUCAGCAAGUGCAUCCCAAGGGAGCACCAGCUGCUUGCAGGUUGCUGGUCAUCCUUAGAGAUGGGAUGUUGGGAUCCAGCCCAAGCCAGCAGAGCUGGUUUGCCCUCCACAAGUGUCAGGCCAAGAUGUUCUUUGCCUCUGAAAUAAACACAAGUAAAGUGGUC